CCUGGCUCAGACGCAACGCUGGCGGCAGGCUUAACACAUGCAAGUCGAACGCACCUUCGGGUGAGUGGCAGACGGGUGAGUAACGCGUGGGAACGUGCCCAUCGGUUCGGAAUAACCCAGGGAAACUUGGGCUAAUACCGGAUACGUCCCUUCGGGGAGAAAGAUUCAUCGCCGAUGGAUCGGCCCGCGUCCGAUUAGCUUGUUGGUGAGGUAACGGCUCACCAAGGCGACGAUCGGUAGCUGGUCUGAGAGGAUGAUCAGCCACACUGGGACUGAGACACGGCCCAGACUCCUACGGGAGGCAGCAGUGGGGAAUAUUGGACAAUGGGCGCAAGCCUGAUCCAGCCAUGCCGCGUGAGUGAUGAAGGCCUUAGGGUUGUAAAGCUCUUUCGCACGCGACGAUAAUGACGGUAGCGUGAGAAGAAGCCCCGGCUAACUUCGUGCCAGCAGCCGCGGUAAUACGAAGGGGGCUAGCGUUGCUCGGAAUCACUGGGCGUAAAGGGCGCGUAGGCGGAUCUUUAAGUCGGGGGUGAAAGCCCAGGGCUCAACCCUGGAAUUGCCACCGAUACUGGGGAUCUA
rnacentral:rRNA from 1 species